rnacentral:rRNA from 1 species
UGGGGAAUCUUCCGCAAUGGGCGAAAGCCUGACGGAGCAAUACCGCGUGAGGGAGGAAUGCCUUUGGGUUCUAAACCUCUUUUCUCAGGGAAGAAGAUCUGACGGUACCUGAGGAAUAAGUAUCGGCUAACUCCGUGCCAGCAGCCGCGGUAAUACGGAGGAUGCAAGCGUUAUCCGGAAUCAUUGGGCGCAAAGCGUCCGCAGGUGGGUUCCAAAGUCUGCUGUUAAGGACUGGAGCUCAACUCCGGAACGGCGGUGGAAACUUGGAAACUAGAGUUCGGUAGGGGUAGCAGGAAUUCCCAGUGUAGCGGUGAAAUGCGUAGAUAUUGGGAAGAACAUCGGUGGCGAAGGCGUGCUACUGGACCGUAACUGACACUCAGGGACGAAAGCUAGGGGAGCGAAAGGGAUUAGAUACCCCUGUAGUCCUAGCUGUAAACGAUGGAAACUAGGUGUGGCU